ensembl:lncRNA
ACAGAUUACUGAAUGAGUGAAGAAAAGCUGAUGUGAGAAACAGCCUGUGUAGAUGUCAAUAACUCUGCUCUGUUAAGAAACUCUGAUUGCAGACGCCCCUUCUCUGGUGGAUCACUAUGACGAUGGUCUUCAAUCUGUCUGCUGGAAGUUUGGCUGUAAUAAACCAAAAGAAGCUUGCAGAACUUAUUGAACAGAUAAGCACAAGUAUCAAAGACAGGUACAACAUUGAAGAAAUGUAUGCAGUGGCCACAAGUGUUCCGAAGGAUGAAGACCAAGUUUCUUAUGACUUCACAAAGGUGACGCCAAACCAACAGACAGAAUUGAAUGACGGCAUCCUCAGGUCUCCGAGACUUGUGGUAGCCACAAAGAAAAAAGUCUACAAUAAAAAUGGGGACUGUCUAUAUACUGAACAUGCAGAGUGGCGUGUUCUUCAGAAUCUUAAUCUUGAAGGUCAGGAUGGUGAUUUGUUGGUCUUCUUCUCUCAUGCCAGUCCAUGUGCCGAAAAGUGUGCAGAUCCAGAUGGAAAAUACAGGAUCACUGAUCAGCUCAGACGUCUCUUUAAUGGAUGUGAGUGGGGUGCAAAGGCGUUUGUAUUUAACGUUUUAUUCAGGCCACCUAGGCAGGACAUUAAUCCAGACAGGAUAAAUUUUGCCCUGACAAAUAUCGGAAUAGCCAUUGAUCACGAAAACUUAUUUCGCUGUAACGAAACUAAUAAUGGCGAUUUCCAUUGCAUCAAAUGCUUUAAUGGUAGUCAGAUAAACCCAAAUGCCUACAAAAGGAGCUGGAACAGGAAGCUCCAGGCGGUGCACCGUUGGUCAGAUGAACAGUCAAAGUCUACCCAAAUCAUCAACCACAUGGUCCUGGAUACGAUACACCCCCUCCAGUUUGCAUACCGCCCCAAUCGAUCAGUUGAUGACGCAACAGCAUUUGCCCUGCACCACAGGGCAUUAGCAUUAGCCCUGCACCACACUCUGCAACAUCUGAAGAGUAGCAGCACGUAUGUCAGGAUGCUCUUCCUGGACUACAGCUCUGCUUUCAACACCAUCCGCCCAGGCAAGCUGAUCGAGAAACUGAGUGACGUCAACAUCCCAACUCUCACUUGCAACUGGAUCCUGGACUUUUUGACAGAGAGACCACAGGUGGUGAGAAUUGGAGGACGCGUGUCUGCUGAGCUCACCAUCAGCACUGGAUCUCCACAGGGCUGCUGCCUCAGCCCUAAACUCUUCACCCUGUACACCCAUGACUGUGUCUCCACCCAGGAAAACUCCAUCAUCAUCAAAUACGCUAACAACACCACCAUCCUGGGGCUCAUCAACAGGGGGUACGAGUCUGGGUACAGAACUCUACACUGUUCCAAAAAAUAUUAAUGUCAAACUAUCUUACUGUAUAUUUUACAGUUUUGUACUAUCUUUCUAGGAUAUCAUUAAAUUUACAUAAGUAGACUGUGAUCUUACAUGUCAAAGGUAAAAUAACGUAACAGCUCUGUAAAUAUAGUAAAACACAAUUUACUUGUUUUUUAAAUAUAUUUUUUUGUACAUAUGCAUAUUUAGAUUGUAAAAUUACAUCCAGAAAUGUAUCAUAAUUUCACGAAUAUUUGUCUGUUAUGUGAGAGAAUGAUCUGUUAAAUUCAAAUGUAAUACUAUGGAAAAAUAUAUAAAAUGAUCGAAAAUUAAUGAGAAUAAUCAAUAAUUAAAGGAGUAUUUGAAUUAUAAUUUUGCUGA